rnacentral:misc_RNA from 1 species
CUCUCCGUGUGCCGCUCACGAGCGUGGCGCCUGCGUGCAUCGGCUGACGAGCGGCAGAGAUGCACUACACCACCGUCCUCGCCGUUGCUGCGCCACUGGCAUCCAUUGCUCUGUGCGUGUGCGCCGGUGUAAAGGAUGGGGCGGCGCACUCGCUUUUCCUUGCCGCAGCAACGUUCUUCAGCGGCGUCGUCAUGUGGCUGCGCUCCCGCUACAUCGCCGCCCUGUACCUGAACGAGCUUCAGGCACGGAGGCAGCACUUCACGGACUCCUUGCGUCGACGAUUCGGUGACGGCGGCGCCGCGGCUGCGGUGCGAGAGGCUAGCGCUCAGCGCGAUGAUGCCCGAGCUGCCGAGGCGUAUGCCGCGCCCUCGCCUUUGUCACGGCCGCCGCGGACAGUGGCGCGUGUCUCACCCGUGCUGCCAGCCUUCCUGGCGUGCUGCUUGUUCUUGAUAAGCAUCCUUUCCACCAUCUCCGCCGCCCUACACGCCAUUUUAUAUGUGCGAAGCCUCGAGACGGAGCAGCCGUGACUCCGUGCGAGAUAGAGGAGAGAGAGAGAGCGUGUUGCUGAGCUGGCCGUGAACCCCGAGGACGUGUGCAAAGUCGUGAGUGUGCACGCACGCCCGCGUUUCUUC